rnacentral:rRNA from 1 species
GAUGAACGCUAGCGGCAGGCUUAACACAUGCAAGUCGAGGGGUAAGUCCCGACUUGUCGGGAACACGACCGGCGUACGGGUGAGUAACGCGUAUGUAACUUACCUCUAACUGGGGAAUAGCCCGAAGAAAUUCGGAUUAAUACCCCAUAAUAUCAUAGGAUCGCAUGUUCUUAUGAUUAAAGUUCCGACGGUUAGAGAUGGGCAUGCGUACCAUUAGCUUGUUGGUGAGGUAACUGCUCACCAAGGCUACGAUGGUUAGGGGGUCUGAGAGGAUGGUCCCCCACACUGGUACUGAGACACGGACCAGACUCCUACGGGAGGCAGCAGUGAGGAAUAUUGGGCAAUGGACGAAAGUCUGACCCAGCCAUGCCGCGUGCAGGAUGACGGCCCUACGGGUUGUAAACUGCUUUUGUACAGGAAGAACAACCACGACGUGUCGAGGUUUGACUGUACUGUACGAAUAAGCAUCGGCUAACUCCGUGCCAGCAGCCGCGGUAAUACGGAGGAUGCAAGCGUUAUCCGGAUUUAUUGGUUUAAAGGGUGCGUAGGCGGGACAGUAAGUCAGUGGUGGAAUCUCCCGGCUUAACCGGGAAACUGCCAUUGAUACUGCUUUCCUUGAGUGCAGUUGAGGUGGGCGGAAUGUGUAAUGUAGCGGUGAAAUGCUUAGAUAUUACACAGAACACCUAUUGCGUAGGCAGCUCACUAAACUGUAACUGACGCUGAGGCACGAAAGCGUGGGGAGCGAACAGGAUUAGAUACCCUGGUAGUCCACGCCGUAAACGAUGAUCACUCGCUGUUGGCGAUACACUGUCAGCGGCUGAGCAAAAGCAUUAAGUGAUCCACCUGGGGAGUACGACCGCAAGGUUG